rnacentral:tRNA from 1 species
CGGGAUGUAGCGCAGGGGUAGCGCACAACGUUCGGGACGUUGGGGUCGCUGGUUCAAAUCCAGUCAUCCCGA